rnacentral:rRNA from 1 species
GAUGAACGCUGGCGGCGUGCCUAAUACAUGCCAGUCGAGCGAACAGACGAGGAGCUUGCUCCUCUGACGUUAGCGGCGGACGGGUGAGUAACACGUGGAUAACCUACCUAUAAGACUGGGAUAACUUCGGGAAACCGGAGCUAAUACCGGAUAAUAUAUUGAACCGCAUGGUUCAAUAGUGAAAGACGGUUUUGCUGUCACUUAUAGAUGGAUCCGCGCCGCAUUAGCUAGUUGGUAAGGUAACGGCUUACCAAGGCGACGAUGCGUAGCCGACCUGAGAGGGUGAUCGGCCACACUGGAACUGAGACACGGUCCAGACUCCUACGGGAGGCAGCAGUAGGGAAUCCUCCGCAAUGGGCGAAAGCCUGACGGAGCAACGCCGCGUGAGUGAUGAAGGUCUUCGGAUCGUAAAACUCUGUUAUUAGGGAAGAACAAAUGUGUAAGUAACUAUGCACGUCUUGACGGUACCUAAUCAGAAAGCCACGGCUAACUACGUG